GUGCGACCCCAGGAUGGGCGGGAUGACCCGCUGAGUUUAAGCAUAUCAAUAAGCGGAGGAGAAGAAACUUACGAGGAUUCCCCUA
rnacentral:rRNA from 1 species